AUGAGAGCAUCAGCUGUUCCGGAUGACUGUGUGGUCACGCUCUCUGUAGCCAACGUGAGUAAGACCUUUAAACAGGUCAACAUACACAAGGCUGAAGGGUCAGACAGAUUACCAGGACGUGUGCUCCAGGCAUGUGCUGACCAACUGGCAGGUGUCUUCACUGACAUUUUCAACAUGUCCCUGAUUGAGUCUGUAAUACCAACAUGUUUCAAGCAGACCACCAUAGUUCCUGUGCCCAAGAUCACAAAGGCAACCUGCCUAAAUGACUACAGACCCGUAGCACUCAUGUCCGUAGCCAUGAAGUGCUUUGAAAGGCUGGUAAUGGCUCACAUCAACAGCAUUGUCCCAGAGACCCUAGACCCACUCCAAUUUGCAUACCGCCCAAACAGAUCCACAGAUGACGCAAUCUCUAUUGCAUUCCACACUGCAGUUUCCCACCUGGACAAAAGGAACACUUAUGUUAGAAUGCUAUUCAUUGACUACAACUCAGCGUUCAACACCAUAGUACCCUCAAAGCUCACCACUAAGCUAUGGAUCCUGGGACUAAACACCUCCCUCUGCAACUGGAUCCUGGACUUCCUAAAGGUCCGUCCCCAGGUGGUGAGGGUAGGUAGCAACACAUCUGCCACGCUGAUCCUCAACACUGGAGCUCCACAGGGGUGUGUGCCUAGUCCCCUCCUGUACUCCCUGUUCACCAACGACUGCAUGGCCAGGCACGACUCCAACACAGUCAUUAAGUUUGCAGACGACACAACAGCGGUAGCCUUGUCACAGACAACAACGAGAGCCUAUUGGGAGGAGGUCAGAGACCUGGCUGUGUGGUGCCAGAAUAACAACCCAUCCCUCAACGUAACCAAGACUAAGGAGAUGAUUGUGGACUACAGGAAAAGGAGGACCGAGCAUGCCCCCAUUCUCAUCGACGUGGCCGUAGUGGAGCAGGUUGAGAGCUUCAAGUUCCUCGGUGUCCACAUCAACAACAAACUAGAAUGGUUCAAACACACCAAGACAGUCGUGAAGAGGGCACGACAAAGCCUAUUCCCCCUCAGGAAACGAAAAAGAUUUGGCAUGUGUUCUGAGAUACUCAAAAGGUUCUACAGCUGCAACAUCGAGAGCAUCCUAACUGGUUGCAUCACUGCCUAG
rnacentral:lncRNA from 1 species